AACAAACGCUGGCGGCGUGCCUAACGCAUGCAAGUCGUACGAGAAAGGGUCCUUCGGGGCCUGAGUAAAGUGGCGCACGGGUGAGUAACGCGUGGAUAAUCUGCCCUUCAGUUGGGAAUAACUCAUCGAAAGGUGGGCUAAUACCGAAUAAUGCUGUGAGACCUCGGUUGAUCAGCCAAAGAGAGCCUCUGCUUGCAAGCCCUCGCUGAAGGAUGAGUCCGCGUACCAUUAGCUAGUUGGUAGGGUAAUGGCCUACCAAGGCGACGAUGGUUAGCUGGUCUGAGAGGAUGAUCAGCCACACUGGAACUGAGACACGGUCCAGACUCCUACGGGAGGCAGCAGUGAGGAAUCUUGCGCAAUGGGGGCAACCCUGACGCAGCAACGCCGCGUGAGUGAGGAAGGUCCUCGGAUCGUAAAGCUCUGUCGGAUGGAAAGAACCGCAUAGGGGUAAACAGCCCCUGUGUCUGACGGUACCAUCAAAGGAAGCACCGGCUAACUCCGUGCCAGCCGCCGCCGUAAGAC
rnacentral:rRNA from 1 species